rnacentral:lncRNA from 13 species
CAAAUACCAUAGAAAGAACCAGCUGAAACAAUUAGAAGUAAUAGUGAUUGGUUCUCACACAAGGUGAGGAUAGUGCCUGUUCUCAACCAGCCAGACUGGAAAGCCUCAUAAUUCACAGGGCAUUGGGUAGAGUACUCAGAAGGGUCUUGCCUCAACAAUGGGAAAGAAUUAGUCUUAGACUAAACAGUACUCUGGACCUGUCGAACAAAUCAUAAAAACAGGACCAAAAAGGAUGAAACGGUUUCCAAGUAAUUUGAACAUGUCCCAGAACAAAGUUCAAGAAUAUUUAUAGGGAUACAAAAAUAUACAGCACCCAACAAAGUCACAUUCACAGUGUCUGGUAUUCAAUAAAAAAUUACCAGGUGUGCAAAGAAGCAGGCAAAUACAACCCAUAAUGAAGAAAAAAGAAAAUCCUUCAAUCAACCUAACCCAGAGCUGACACCACAAGAAAUAUUAAAGCAUUUUCUUCAGGCAGAAGGAAAAAUGAUACCAGAUGGAAAUAUGGGUCUAUACACAAAAAAUGAAGAUCACCACAAAGCUAUAUUGCACUGGCAGGAAUUUCCAGAACUAUGUUGAAUAAGGAUGGGUCUCACUAUGUCACCCAGGCUGGAGUCCAGUGGCACGAUCAUAGCUCACUACAGCACAACUUUCUCAACUAGAGGGAUCCUCCUUCCUCAGCGUUCAAAGUAUCUGGGACUACAAAUCUGCUAUGACAUUGAACAGAAGAGGUGAGAGAUGAAUUCCUCACAUUGCUCUACAUCUUAAGAACAGUGUUGACUUUUUCAGUGUUAAGUACAAUAUUAGCUAUAUAUUUUCACCAUAUUGAAGAUAUAUUUUCGUCAAUUUCUAGUUUGGUGAGAGUUUUUUUAAAAAUCAGGAUUGGAUUGACGCUUACUUUUGUCAAAUACUUUUUCCACACAAUUUGAGGUUAUU